rnacentral:rRNA from 1 species
GUGCCAGCCGCCGCGGUAACACCAGCGGCCCGAGUGGUAGCCGAUUUUAUUGGGCCUAAAGCGCCCGUAGCCGGGCUGGCAAGUCCUUUGUGAAAUCGGACGGCUUAACCGUUCGGCUUGCAAGGGAAACUGUCGGUCUUGGGGCUGGUAGGCGUCGAGGGUACUCCAGGGGUAGCGGUGAAAUGCUAUAAUCCUUGGGGGACCGCCAGUGGCGAAAGCGCUCGACGAGACCAGACCCGACGGUGAGGGACGAAGGCCAGGGGCGCGAACCGGAUUAGAUACCCGGGUAGUCCUGGCUGCAAAGUAUGUGGGCUAGGUGCUGGGCGUUCCUCGAGAGCGUCCGGUGCCGAAGGAAAGCCAUUAAGCCCACCGCCUGGNAAGUACGGUCGCAAGACUGAAACUUAAAGAAAUUGGCGGGGG